UUCUCUUCUUUUUUAAUUUCAAUUUUAGUUCAACUUGGUAGGAAAAUUUGGGCUGGAGGAGAAAAUAUUUACUUCUUUUCUCCUGUGUGAAAAACAUUUCUGAUCCUUUUGAUCAUUUCUUUGAGAAUUUCAUACAAUGCGUUUUGAUCAGACUUACUCCUCUCUCCCAAUGCCUCCAAAAUCUGUCCAUACUUCCUUACCUGUUUGACUUUGUCCUAUUUUGAUUUUGUCUUUAAAUCUAGUCAAACAUGAUAGCACAGGUCUAUAAUCCCAGUACAUGAGGUGGGGUGGGCAGGAGAAUGAGGAGUAGCGGGCCAGCCUUACUAUCUAGUGAGUCUGAGAUCGAAGGGUUUGGUUUGGUUUUCUUGGAGUCGGCAUUAGUUGGCGGUUUUCUUAUUUUGAUUUUUUUGUUGUUGUUUCUUUGUUUCUGUUAUCAUUGUUGUUGUGGUUUUGAUCUCCCGGCUCCAAUAUCAUUUAUAAUAAAUAGGAAUAUUCCAUGUAGGGCUUGCACAAACACUAACCUGAUGUAUGUUUACUGAACAUCCAAAAUAUUUGUAGUUUUUGAUGCCUUUCCUCCAAAAGAGAGACAACUUUCAUUACUAGAACGUAUAAAUCCUAAGUCAUCUCUACUGAAUUAUGCAGGUACUGAAUGGCCACUAUGAGAAAUUAGUGCGGAAUUCUGGGAAAUAUUGGCUGUGUGCGAAGAACCAAUGGGAACUAGUGGAGAUGACUGCCUUUGAAGGCAGCUACGGGGGUUGGGGGGGAAGAUUUAGAACCAUCAUGAAUCAAAAAUAAAGUUAAGUUUGUACUUCUUUCUCCUAGAUUUAUAAAUGUGGCUGGCAAACGGGACAAAAAGAGUGAUGGUGACAUUCUUCGGUAUUUAUCACCCGUAAAGUAGGAAAUAAAACGCCUCGCCCUCUCAACUUUGCAGUUGCUGAAGGGCUUUAAAGAAUGGCCACAUUAUAAUAAUUGAUUCUUGCCUUUUUUUGUGAUUAGACCUUGAGAAUGAGAAUGGCAAAAUAAUUCCAUAUCUUAGCAGCCGAGAACGUCGGGGAUGCAGGAUUGGUGACGUGUUCGUUGAAUGAGGCAGAAAUUAAAAUUAAGGCUUCUUGUGGACAGAGCAAACUGAUUUAAAAGCACUACAAGAUCCAUGAGGUGUGUGCUAGGUGAUUAAAUGCUAGGAAUGGAUCCUUACAGUUAACAAAAUGAAAGUUGGAAACUUGCUCUGAAUACUGAUUUUGUGCAGCCGAGUGUGUGUGUGUGUGUGUGUGUGUGAAAGAGAGAGAGAGAGAGAGAGAGAAAGAGAGACACAGAGAGAGAGACAGAGAGACAGAGAGAGACAGAGAGAGACAGAGAGAGGUCGUCCUCAAUCACUUCUCAACUUAUCUUCUGAGACAGGGUCUCUCACUGGAUUUACAGCUCAGUAAUUCAGCUAGGCUGGUUGGCCAGCCAGUGAGAACAGCAAGAAUCCUAGCAUCUCUGACUCCCCCAGAGCUGGGAUUAUAGACAUUGCCCCUGUGACUUUCAACGUAGAUGCUACUGAUCUGAACUCGAGUCCUCACACUUGGGUAGCAAGCACUUUAACCACGGAACCUCCCCAUUAACCAUGAAGUGAUUCUUCUUACGUCCGGAACCUUGUAAGCAUGGUACUCAAGGUCUCCUGCACUGUGCGUUUCAGUUUACCCCACAUGGGCUGCCUGAACAUUAGUCACCUUCUCAGACACAACUCUACACCUCUGGCCCUGACUCUUCUGCCACAUCCUGGAAGCAGGAUCUGGACCCCCAAGUCCUUUCCUAGUCAAUGGAUAGUCAGUUAAACCUUGAUUUCAUUUUCAUGUCUCAGUUUUAGUUACAUAUCUGGGUGAUGGGUCCUCUGGAACACCGUGACUGUCAGUCAUAGAGAGAAGCAUCUUAAUUGAGGUCACAUGAAGAAGGUCUGUUUAUUAUUUUUUUAUUGACAUAAGGUCUUAUUUAGCCCCCAAUUGAUUACAUUGGCAAGGUUGGCCUUGAACUCUGAUCCUCCUGGCUCCAGGUCCUAAGGGCUAAGAUUACAGGCAUGUGCCACCAUGCCUGAUUUACUUAGUGCUUAGGAUCAAACCGAGGGCUUUGUGCAUGCUAGGCAAGCACUCUACCAACCGAGCUGUGCCUAUAGUUCAAGUGUCUGUGGAGAUGCUGAAAUAGCCUUUGGAAUGCUCCAGCUGAGUUCUCACUGGGCUCCUAGGGGUUAGCCUGGCUCAGUCCAGCAACCUCUCAUUUGCAGUGGAAUUGCUGAAGAGUUUUAACCACGAACCCCGAAGGACUGCUAUUUUGAAAGGAGGCAGAAUACAAGUGAGUGUUCAUGGGGAUGCAGGAAUUAGUGUUGUAGACACAGUCUCUCCAAGAGAGAAAAACCUGCAGCAGUUUCUAAGAUGAUUUAUUAGACACUGGUAGAAUUUGCUAGAAAUCUACCAGGAGGAAAUCAUCUGGGAAGAAGUUAAUGAACCAAACAAAACACUUGAUAAUGCAAUUAGAAUACUAGGAGACGAAGGGUUUUUUUUUUUUUUUUUUAAACCAGAGAGAAGGGGGAUUCGGGGUGAGAACGUGGAGGCUGAGGUUGGAAAAAGAAAUGUAACUAACUGUUUUCUGAGUAUAGCUAUCAGAGGACGGGAGGAGAAGAUGGGCUGAUGAUUCAGUGCGGCGAGUCAGGGUGCCCAGCUGGGUAGAGACAGACUCUCAGCGUGGCUUCAGCUGAGUGCUGUGUGGCUCUGAGCAAAGCGACGAGAUUGCUAGCGGCAAAAAUCUGGACUCCCAUCCCAGGGGAUGGUGGAGACAGCCAUGGGAGGACGCACACCGCACUCUAGUUGCUUGAGGCAACAGUAAAUUUCCCCCCUGCUUUUGUUUGGGUCUGAGAUUUUUUUCCCCUUUAAAUCUCUUCUUAGCAGAGUUUGAAAUCAACACAAUAAACCCCUGUAAGCUAUACAUACUCUGCCCUUAUUCCAUUCAGCCUCACAGAUGACCCAAUGGCCAAACAUGGUAUCAUCGCUGAAUGUAUAUGGGGGAAAUUUCUGGUCAUGCCCUUGUCCUAGGCACUGCAAUGUAGACCAUAAAUAACACAGGUUAUCUUUGAUUUAUAAGAAUGUGAGAUCGAAAUAAAUAUGCAAGAAGAUGCGACUGCAAGCCCCAUCUUCCCUAUAUUAGUUCUCUAGCAUGGUAGGGAUGUGUUUAAUACUUUUAACGCCUCCCGCAAACAUUCCUUCCUUUAAAUAUAUAUUGUGGUCACGCAACACUGUCUACUUUCCCAAGUGUUUUCAUGCCCUCUAACUGGAGUGUUACAUGUCAAGUGUGAGACUGCCCUGUGGAACAAAGCCAGCAUGGGAGAUGUACACAUGAGAGAGCCUUAUUGAGAUACCUGCCCUUGACGACCACAAGCGCCUCCCGCUCUGUAGUGUAGCCAGGCUGACAGCUCUAUGCGUCCAGCCACAGUGCCCAGGCACUUCCAGUCUCAGCCCCUUUGGCACUCCUAGCCCUUGUCAUGGGUCAUUACUGCUCUGGGAGAAUCUGGUGGAGGUCUCUCCCUGUCUUUGGGUAGCAAUUACUAUGAGGACAACGACCAUUCAAGUUCCACAUUAUGUUUAGUGACUCUCUACCUCGUAGAAAGGAAGUGUUCAAAAAUAACAUGAAGAAAUGCUGAACCUGGAACAUCUUUCUCCUAGCGAUCUAUACAUUUGCGCCACUAUGCAUUUCAAAGAAAUUUUGCUCUUACCUGCUUCUCCUAAAACCCAUUCUCCAUUGUUCCUUUCAAAGAAAUGACUUAGCACCAAUGAUGACCUAAUGAUGUUCAAGAAAGUUGGCCUUUCUAGAUGCACAUCCAUCAUUAUACCUGUCUCCAUGGAUACUUGUAACCCACAAUUUUGGAAGCCUCACUUCCCUUAGUGUUGCUCUAUCUUUUGGUCCCCAGAGCUUUGACUGCUCCUGUGAUGUGUCCACAUUCAGAGCUGCCACCAUACCUUAGAGUCUCUAGACACAGCAUAGUCUUGACCACUGCCAGCAUCUAGAAGAACUUCACUUGUGCUUUGAAGGAAGACUGUAAGGUUCACAGAAGCCCAGUCACUGUUCUACAAUUUCCCAGUGACAAAGCCACAAGCUUUUAGACAUCCUGGUGAUUCUAGAUUGGGACAGUGUGCAGUGGAAUGCCCCUCCUUCUUCAACAAUAACCAGGUAGACUUACACAUGAGUAAGAUUUCACCCCAACACCCUUCUGCACCUCCAAAGCUGCAAGCCACUCCCUUUCCUGUGCACAUACCUUUGUGCUGCAGCUGUAGCAGAGCCAACCUCAUCCCUCUCUAGAAUGCAAGCCACCUGGUGACAGGGACCAGCCUCUCCCUCCUCUGGUAUGGUGACAGGUAGGAGAUAUCUAUUGAUAUGUGCUGGAGGAACCCAUGGCACACCUGUCACUGAGUUGGACAGUCCUGUGUCACAAUCCUGUUUCUGUUACCCACUGGCUGGGUGACCUCAAGCAAAUCAGUCAUUCUACAGCCUCAACUGUCUCAUCUUUAAAAUGGAAUAACAAGAGUGUCUGUACCGGGAAGGGGCUGGAGGAUGACAUAUCCUGUCCCUAAAGUGUGUCCGUGACAAUCAUUCUCCACAGUAGGGCAUCAUGAAGAUGACAACCAAAAUAUCUUGACAAAAGACACAGCACCAAACCUCCUCAUGUUUUCCUAACUGUGGUUGGACAGGGACUCUGAAGCCCUCAGCUAGAGGGAAAGGCUCAAUGUUUGUGCUAAUGUCUCACUGGUGAUUUCCUUCCUCCUUUGGUCUGGGGGAACCAGGUUCUAGACCUUCAAUGAGAUGCUUUAGUUUAUGUUAUUAGGGAGAAGUAAACCAACACUCAGGAUGAUACAGACUUUAAAUAUGUAGCCCAGUGAUACAAAACCUGGAUGUACAAACUUUCCAUGGAAACAAAACAAAACAAAACACCCCAGAGAAACAGAGAAAGGCAUCCCUUGUUAACAAGUUACUCCAAGCAGGAAUGUACGGCUAUGGCUUUACAUGGAGAAUGUGGUAGCCGGUGUCUUAAGUUGCACAGAGCCUGCACUACAAGGUACACCUGGCAGUCACUUCAUCACUACAUAAAGUGGAACACAGCGGAUGUGGGGUAGUGUGACUGUGGGUGGGUGGGGCUGACAUGUUUUCCUUCCCACCUCCUGUUGGCGAAAAUAUUGCCACAAAGGAGAAUAACUUCCUUCUACCUUUCAGAGACUCCCCAAAUAGAAAACAGCUGCUUGAUAAGGCAAAAUUGGCUUGUAAUUUUCUGAGUUUCCUUUUAUUAAGAUGCAUGCCACUUUUAAUGUAAUAUGCCUUGGCACUGUGGGUGGAUAGGGGAAUAGAUGGUUGCCAUGUAUGGAAAAACAGGAGCGCGUUGUCAGGAUAAACUGCUUAACACGCUGGGAGAAAACUGUGGUUCCCCCAGAUGUCUCUCAAAUUAACUCUGAGCCCAUUGGUAGGAGGCUGUGCAUAGUAAAUCUUGCCUGUGUUAUUCGGGUCAUGUGUUCCUUUUCAAGAAAGAGACAUGCUUGGGCCUUCAGAUUUCUUUAGCCAGAAGCAUGCAAAAUGCAGGGGACGUGUGUGUAAAAAGAUGAGCUCUAACCGGAGUCUGAUGGAUGCCUUCUUUCUUUUACAACAAAUGCUAUUGCAUGGGAGAGGAAUUUUACUGCUGGAGAACAUGUCAUGUUAGGAAAAAUGAAAACAGCAUUUUAUGCUCUUCUCUCCCUCUCUCUUUCUUUGGUAAUACUGGAGAUUUGAACUUGGGGUCUUGUGCACACACUUUACCAUUGAGCUAUAUCUUCAGCCCAGCAUUUAUAUAUAUGCACGGGUCUAUGUAUGUAUCUAUGUACUUGUGCAUAUGUGUGUAAGACACGUGUGAUUGCACAUGUGUGGAAACUAGAGGUUAACACCAGGUGUCUUUCCUGAUCACUCUCCACUCUCUAUCUACUGGGGCAGAGAGUCCCUCCCUAAACCUAGAGCUCACCAGUCUAGUUUUCUAGCUAGCCAGUUUGCUAUAGAGAUCCUUCGUUUCUACCUCCUGAGCACUGGGGUUGGACGGGCUGCCAUUUCGUUACUUCUCAGAAAUGGUAUUUACAUUUAUUUUUUUAUUACAAGUGUGCAUUCUAUGUAUGGCACUGUGGGGAGACAUGUAUGUGCCAUGCCACAUAUUGAAAGGUCAGAGGACAACUCGUGGAGUCAGUUCUCUCUUUUCACCCUUAUGUGGGUUCUGGACCUUAAUGAACUCAGGUCACCCAGUUUCUGUGGUGAGUGAUUUACCUAUUGGACCAUCUCAGGAGCACUUUACACUUUUAAAAGAUCUUCAUAGCUAUCCAAUCUCAUCUCCCUCUGAAUAUUUAUGAUUUAGAUUCCUUCAGAAUUUGGGGUAGGAGGAGAUUUAAAUAUACAUGUUCUUGGGUCUCAACAGUUGUAUUAAAAAUUGAGUAAAUGCAAAGACAUCCAAGGUAAUAGAUAUCUAAAGAAUGCUACCAUGCUACCCAUUUGAACUCACUACCCCUUGAGAAAAAUGUUGCCAGCUUGAUUGACAACUAAAGUACCAGGACUAGCCAAGCGAACAAAGUGGCCUUGGGGAAGGACUUGCUGUCCCAGUCAUCAGGAAUCACUGUAUAGCUGUAGAGCCAAGUAAUAGCUACUGAAUGCCCGAUCAACAGGACAGAAUAGGAAAGCCAGGGGCGGGUUCCAACACAUGGAAACACUGACAUUUCCUCUUCAUGGGUGGAGAGCUGGACUUUUAUCUAAGGGAUACUAGAAGAUUCAUUGAUGAAAAAAAAAUGGAUUUGGACUCCAACCCUGCAUCAUACACAAAGGCACAGAGAAAGACAAGACUGAUGAAAAUCUGCACAUCAACUUAUAAAAUAUGCAUGGAAGAGAAUAAAGGAGGGUAUCUUUAUGGCUCUGAGGUAGAAAACACACUUUCUAACAGAUGCAAAAUGCAAACCACAAUAAAAAAGAUGUAUUUGCUUCCUUGGAAAAUGUCAGAAAGACACACAGACCUCUGCAAGUAUGGAAGAAACUUUUCAGUACUUUGAUUUAAUGAGUUGGUAUAUACACUAUGUCUUUAAAAAUCCCGAAAGCCAAGAGAAAAAGAUAGAAAAGCCCAACAGAGAAAUAGAAACUUCAGCAGGCCAUUUCGCACACAAAAAGGAAACUUAAAUAUAGAAAAUACACAUAACACAUAAAAUCUGGAACCUCAUUAUAACAUGCUAAAGAGACACAAUAACCAUGAGGUAUAUCUCUCCUUAGUCACUUGAGAAACUGAGAGGUCAGCUGACGCUAAGUGUUGGCUGUGUUAUUGUGGCCGGUGGCUUGAUGCUGCUUGUAUUCUAAUGCUAAUUUGGGACCCCCACACUAGUUGCCCCCGAGAUGAACACUGAUUGGUAAAAAAAGAUGCCAAGAGCCAAUAGCUGGGCAGAGGAGACAUAGGCAGGGUUUGGGUUUGAGGGCUUGGGGUUGGAGAAGAGGAGGAAGAAGAAGCCUGCCUUGGGUUAGGGGUCAAUAGAGCACAGUCCUGAGGGCUGCCUAAUUGUGGCUAAGAGAAACCAAAAUGGACCAUAGUAUAUAGUAAGUAAAAACCCGGGGUUAUCGAUAGGAUAGUAGAUUUUAGCAGCAUGGAAGGUAGGCAGCUACCCAGAUACUGUACUAAUUAAGACUUAUUGUAAAUAUAAAGGCGAUGGGUGUGUCUCUCAUCUGGGAUCUCAAUAACCAAAGGCAAAGUCGAAACCCCGGGCUGGGAUUUUUAAUAAUUAUCACUACAUAUUAUAUUCACUUUCCUCUUGGUGAUGAUGUAAGAUGAGAUGAUGUCUGUGUGAUGAGGUAGAUUGACUUGGCGGAGGGGGACACAGUUGCAGAUGACAACAUGAUCCCUCAGAAGUGUCACUGAGCUAUAACAAUACCACUUUUAGGUGAAUGUAUGUGCAAGGGAGGCCUGACGCUCUCCCUUCAACGCUUUUCUUCCUGCACUCUUUGUCUCUCGCUAGUCACCCGUACUUCUCCCAGAGCACUGUCUCUUCAGGGACAGCAUCCGGUCUAGCAGCCACACAUAGCACUUAGGAAUGGAGCCUGAGCCCCAGGGUUCUAAUGAGCCCUGGAGGAGACUCCAACGCAAGGUUUGGUUUGAGAAAAACCUUAGGAGAAUUUUUGAACCUUGAGACUGGUUUAAGGAUGCAAACUCAGGUAAGAUUCUUUUCCCUACAUUUUGUAAUUUUGAUAAGUUAAACAUCAAAGAGACAAGAGGUUAAAAAGGAAAGUAGUGUGAGAGAGUGUCUUUCAUCCCCUUUGAGUACUGGGAUGGGGGGGUGAGGUGAGGGAGACACGCAUAGAGUGGAGAUUUGCAUGGAGAUCAACUUGAAGUACCUUCUUAAAAGGUUCAGCCUCUAAUGCAGCGGUUCUCAACCUGAGGGUCAUACCCCCUUUGGGGGUCACGUAUCCCCAUACCCUGUCUAUCAGAUAUUUAUAUUACAAUUUAUAACAGCAAAAUUGCAGUUGUGAAGUAGCAACAAAAUAAUUUUCUAGAGGCCUCCACAACAUGAGGAAGUGUUUCAGAAGGCCGCAGCAUUAGGAAGGUGGAAAGCUGCUCCUCUAAUGGUUAGUCUAACCCAACGCAGAAGACGCAUGCUGAACACAUGCAACAGGAGAACCACAAGUGCUCGGUUGAUGGUUAACUUUCACUGUCAGCUUGACAGAUUUAGGAUCAUCAUGGAAAUACACCACUGAGUGUGUUCAUGAGGGAAUUCCCAGAAAUCCAUCUUUGAUAUGGAAAAGCAGGAAAAAUCUAUCCUUGACAUGUCCCCAUGUCCCAUGGGCUCUUGGGCUGAAUGAAAAGGAGACAGAGAGCUGUACGCUAGCAUUUGCCUCUUUGUGAUUCUUGGUUGUAGAUGUGUGCACCGUGACCAGCUGCCCUGUGCCGUGUCUUCCCACUGUGAGAUGGCCUGUACCCCAGAACUGGGAGCCCAAACAAACUCUUCUCCCUUAGAUUGUUCUGAUAAGGUACUUGAUCUCAGAAAGGGAAAAAGUAACUAAGAAAAUGGGUCAAUGUUUUCAUUUUUUAAUUUUUUUUUUGUGGUCCUGGGAAUGGAACUUUGGGCUGCACACUCUGCUCUUAAACUAUUCCCCAAUCCCAGCCAAUGAGGCUUAAUUGGCAGACCCAGUGAGAAGGUGACCUGAGCUACCGCCCCUGGAAGUGGGGCCAGCCAUCAUGUUUUGUCAUUCUGGGCACAGCUGUAUGGCUCAGCAGCAGGAGGAUGCUGGUUCUCCUCCUCAGAAUUCUGAAAAUAAAGAGUAGCAGUGUCUGUCCUAAAAAUACAUUCUAUUCUGGCAGAAGUCUGCCUUUCGCCAUCCACAUUGAUGGAAAUCAAUUAUAUCACUGUCCUAAUUACUGUUGUAAGGGGAGUAUCUGCACAAGCAGGAGGAAGUGUGGAUUGAGCAGGAACAAGGAUGGUGCCUCAGUAGGUGCUGGGGACAGCACAAAUGGUGGCGCUGUGGGUGCGCAUGGAAAUAUAUGAUUAACCUAUUUCACAUGUGUGAGAUGGACAUUAUUGAAUAGCUUACUUUAGAAAUGUUAUUGAGCAAGGACUGGGGAUAUGGCUUAUGGUUAAAUAAGUCAAAUCUGUGAGUUCAACUCUCAGUACUGAAGAAACAACAGUUUCUCAAGCAAAAUAACUUUUAAAAAGCCAACAGAUGGUUAAACUUUCCGUCUGCAAUGUGACUUCUGUGCUGCCUACGCAUCUAGCACGGACUUCCGAAAACCUGCCAGAGAAGUGUUGGUCCAGCUUCUUCCAAGAUUUUCGGCUUAACUGAGAAGUGAGACCAGUGUGAACAUGCACCGUGCUCCCUAGGGCUCAUGGGAUAUGGUUUGAUUGAUGAUGGCCCCGGCCCCUGACAUGCUGACUCUCAGGGCUGGGUCCUGCUGCUCUGGGAUCACCUUUGAGAAUUAAUAAGUUAAGGGAAACACAGAGAGAAUCUUCCACAGUCAGAUAAACUGUCUUCCCUCUUUAACUCAAGUCAAGAGUUGGGUGCAAAGGCAGUUGCACAUUUCUGCCAAUGAUUUCCCUUCAUUCCUGCACUGUUUCAGCUUGUUCUUGACUCUGAACUGAUAUAAUCAUAAUCAUUGGAAAGAUAUUUUCCUGCUAGGCAGGUGACCAGAUAUGUCAGAGGAACCUUUCCUCUGCAGUUUACCAAUGGACUCAUAACUCAGUGUGCCCUUGGGUGCCCUUGGCGAGCUCGAAGAAAAGUGGGUCAUUCCGAGUAGGACAAAUUCACUCGUGACACUUGUCAGGGCAGCUCUCGACGGUCAACAGCUCAGCUGACUACAUUUCACUAACAGUAUGACACCUGUCACAUAAAUGAAGGUGCUUCUGUUAGGAGGUGGGUUUUCUAGGCUUUGAGACCUGAGCUGCUUUUCCUGCUUGACCCCACAGCGGUCAGAGAACACAGGGUACAAGGUAUGGCGUUACUCAGAACGGCUGACGGCAUUCUUUCCUGUAUCCUCCACCCCUACCAUUUAACCAUCCUUAAUGAGCACAACGGAACUCAUCCAUUAAACCUGCAUUUCUUUUCUUGCCUCCAUCAUGUUUCUUCUUACCCAUCAUGGCAGGUGUGUGGGUGACAGGAACACAGAGUGACGGGCUGUAGUUUCCCCUGUAGACCUAUCGCACCCAUCUCAUUGGCAACAGAGACGGGGGCUCAUUUGUCAUUGAUAAAACCCACCUCGGACCAAGGUGGGACCCAUUUAAUACGGUUCUCAUUCGGAAUUUGGGAAAGAGGUCUUGAUGGUUACUGGGUUACGUGGCAAGACUGGGGCACCCCAGACAAUGAUGUACCUCAUGAUGAUGACAUUUUUGGGGUGGGUGGGAGGCUGGAGACAGGUGAUAAGUUGUAGCAACUACUAGGAAGGGGACUACUGCAAAGUCUUAAGAGGGAGGGAUGAAGGUAAGUACAGGAACUGAAAGAGGUCCCCAGGACCAGGGCAGAUAAAUAACAUCAGGAAGCUUAUGGAGAUGUUGGAAGGGGCUCAGGGACACCAUUUUGAAGGUCACCAUGGAGCAGCUCCCUUUAUUCUAAUGGCUCCAGGGAGUCAAUGACCAAAGGCUGAGUAGAAGAUCCUUGGCACAUGGCUGGUUGAGCCCUAGGGCUGAGUGAACCAAAUAACAAAAGCUAUGCCAUCCCUUCUACCCUCCGGCCUCACCGCCUGGGCCCAGUCACUGUCGUACGUGCAGUUCCUCCUCCUCUUUCUACAUACGGACUGACCGUACCUGUUUCUCAUUCCUCAAAGCCACUAAAGAAUCCAAGGUGCUCAGGCAGGAAUAUUUGGAGGAUAAUGCGACUUCCUGAAUUCAUAGUGAAAUGGGGACGACAACAUUAAUAUGAUGACACGGAUGUGAGGCAGAGAGACAUGAAGGCAACUGUCAGUGGGCAGGGCACGGCAGGCACACUCUGUAGGGAUACAUUAGUGAUCUGUGGCAUCGAAGGGAUGCUCAGUAUAGGGAAACGGUAGUGCUCGGAAGCACAGUGGCUGCUUUAGAGGGACAGGAGGGUAUUGUAUGGCAUGGUAGAAUUCCUCAGUGUGGGGACGCACUGGUUCUUCAGAGUGGAAAGGCGUGGCUUGGUGGGAAGGUUCAUGCAGGGAUUUAGCGGUGGACAGGGCAUGGGGGAAGAGGGCAUGUGGAGACAGAGUAAUACUCCAGGGCACGGUGAGGUGAGAAGGCUCUAUGUAGAGAUCCAGCUGUGGGUGGGGCAUGGUGGGAAGGCUCCAUGUAAGGAUGCAGGGCUGGCACAGGGUGGGGAUGUUUCAUACAGGGAUGGGGCAGUGGGUAUAGCAUGAUGGGAAGACCCCAUGCAGGGAUGGGGCAUGCAUGAUGGGAAGGUUCCAUGCAAGGCCUUGAUUCCACCUCAGGCCAACAAGUUUUCAUUUCCUAACACUAAAGCAAUGUAUGAUCCACUGUUUAUCAAUGAGAAAAUAACAUGUGGUGACAGAUACAUACACACAUUUAAACGGUGCCUCUUGUGGCCACACACAGUUCUGUUCUCAUAAGGGACCUCAAUUUACUUAGGUGGAAAGAGAUAACCUAAUUUCAAAAAAAAAAAUCUGUAUUUCCAAAAGGAGUCUCACGGAGUUACUCAGGCUAGCCUUGAGCUCACUCCGUAGCCCAGGGAGUCCCAAACUUGUGAUCUUCCUGCCUCUGCCUUCUCCUGCAGCUGGGGUGACAGACUUGGACUGUGAGGCCUGGGUAAGCCCUCUGUAUCCAAAUCUAUUUCACCCAAGAUGAAUUCAGAAGGAAAACUAGCAUCAGAAACAGUGCUUUGAGCAUUGACAGGCUGCUUGAGCAAACACACUCCUAUUUGCAGGAAAUCCUGGCCUGGUUCAGCACUGCUGUGUGGAGGUCAAGUUUAUGUUCAUCCAAUUAACUGCCACUGACUCUGUCCGUACUUAAUCAUACCAUGGCCCGGCUGCUUCACAGCCGACUCACAGUUGCUCUACUGCCGUAAACUCUUCUAAUUGAGUAUUGCACACAGCUAAUUAAAUAUGAAAACAGGAUUGUGUGCAGUCAAGUUUCCAGCCUGCCUCAUAAACUUGCUGAUUCUAAUUUGUAUUUACCAGAGAAAUCCAGGCUUUCCUCGCCUACUAGUUAAUAGGUUGAUAGGGAAAGGGUCACAAACAAGGACAGUUGCUAUGUUCUGGGACAACACUGUUACCGGGUAAAGUCUAUGCCUUUUAAAAACUAGCCACUCUGCUGUAGAAAACACAACUUUAAUCUUAAUACAACAAGACAAAAGGCCAGGGCUUUUAAAGACCAUUUGGGGAAAUGCCUGGAAGGCUAGUGGGAACCUUCCACUACUUUGGAGGUUGUUUCUCUUUGCCCACCACACGCCCUCCUCAUGGCUUGACUGAGUGAAAUGACAAGUUGCAAGGGGAUCUGUUAUGAUAGUCCAGGCACUUCAACAAUGCAGGUGAAAGCAAUCUCAACACACAUGCUCUCUGUCUCUGUCUCUCUGUCUCUCUGUCUUUGUCUCUCUGUUUCUGUCUCUGUCUCUGUCUGUUUCUCUCUCUCUCUGUCUCUGUCUCUGUCUCUGUCUCUCUCUCUCUCUCUCUCUGGUAUGUAUGUGCAGAAGUGUCUGUGUGCAUGUAGGGGAGAGGUCAACCUCUAGCCUAAUUCCUUAACAGCCACCAACUUUGUUGUUUGACACAGGUUCAUGACUGGGAAGUCUCUAUCAGAAGUAUUUCCUUGUUGUCUCAUCACAAUCUCAAAGACUACUUAUCUGAGCUCGUGGGCUCUUCCUGGCUCUGCAUUCUCAGCCCUGUGAUUACAAGUGAGCACAAUUAAACCUGGCUUCCGUGAGUGUUGGGGAUCGAACUUGUGUCCUUGUGCUUGCACUGACUGUACUCACUUUAUCCCAGCUGAGUCUCUCUGUAAUGUUGGUCAUGUAUUCACAGACAUUGUUGAACAUGAUUUGUGUAAAGAAAGGCUCUGAGACCUGAGAAUUGUGGUGCAGAUGUGACACCCAACCCCACUUAUGAUUCCUCUGCAUGUCAAUUGCUUCAUCUUUGAUUGGGGAUAAUAAUAUCUCCUGUCUCCGAGCGGCUGUGUGGAUUCCAUGGGAAACCAGAUGACUGGCAUUUAGCGUAUUGCCAGUGCACACUAAGCACGCUGUAGGUAAUGCUGUAGAUGUUUGCAAGUGUGCUUUCUUUCUCAGUUUGAAAACUGGCACGCAGACUUUAGGUAAGUGAGCUAGUUACACUUUCUUGUUGGAAUCAGAAUUCCCUAUCAGAAUUAUUUCCCUGUUGACUCAUCGAAGUCUCAAAGACUACUAACAUUGCACAGACUUCCCAGGGGACUUUUGGAGACAUGCUACCUCUGAUCUUUUCUAUCCCCUUCUCUGACUCUCCACAGGAAGACCUGUGAAAGACCCAGCUGGCAUCCUGCCUGCCAUGGAGUCACAGACCUGCUCACAGAGUCACAGACCUUGCCAUGAGUAUUUUCCUUCCUUUUUUCCUUCCUUUCCACCCAUAACUUCGUACCCACUCUUAUCUGGCUUUCAGCCUCGGAGCUGAGAGGCUAGAACAUGAGAUUCUCUGUGCUAUCCGAUUUCCCCAAGUAGAAGAUUAUACCCUGACCACCUCCAGGUAUCUUUCUUUUGGACUUCUUUUGCUUUCCCUUGCAAAAGGGGGUUGAAGUUGCCUGAUAGGCUGAUCUUUGCAGUUGCUAACUGAAACUUCCCAUUUCCAGAAUGCAGGGAUUCGAUGUUGAGGCCCCCACUCAAAUACUGCAGGUAUAAAAGCCCAAGAAUCUGUAGCCCUCAACUGCUCUGACAAGCCCCAGGGUAGGAAGAGGCUUGCCUUGUCUCCUCAGAAGUAUUUAAGAAUCCCCCGGGGUCUCACAUCCUUGCUGUGAUACCGUUUAACAAGCAGGCAAGUUGGGGAGUUGUUGCUGUUGUUGUUCUAAUGUGAUUAAAGCUACAAUAAGGUGUGUGUGUGUGUGUGUGUGACAAGAGGCAAAGCCAUUGUUCCGCACCAUUACGCUCACAGCAGCACCCCAAAGAAAUUACAGGCAGCUUGCCCAUGGCCCUAAUGAAGAGCAUCCCUUUGAAUUAUCUCUGGAUGAGGAAAGGAUCAAGCCAGAGCCUUAGAAUAUUUGAUCCUCUUUGUGCGGCGGUUAUGAAGGCUUACUGAAGCCAGACGCACCGGACUUUCUGGAAGUGUAAUUUAUGGAAACCUUAAUUUCUCUGUUCUAAUAAGGUUUUGCAUAAUAAGGGUGAGGACACAAUUACUAAUUCCUGCAAGUGUUUUGUGAAUUCCUCUGUGCUACGGUUCAGGCGCCCAAAGAAUAGGCAGAAGGACAGGACGGAUUUUACUUAGUUAGCUCGAGGGUAGGUUGGUCUGAGAAGUAGUUUGGGCCCCCUGAAAAUAAAUCUGCAUGGCUCCCUAAACUGCUGACAGCAUGUAUUUCAGACGGAAGUCAUUUAUCAGCAACUCACCGAACGAUACUGCAGACAGAAAUAGCCCCACAAAAUUUUACCUAGUAAAAACCAAACGGAAUCUAGACUCCUUCUUUUAGGACUGCACUCUGGGCUGAAGAGCAUAAAUAAUAAGGUUGAAUAAAAAAUAAGUUGGCACAGAUUUGUUGUAGAUAUCAUAAAGUUGAACUUGGGAAGGUGUUCACUAGUUUCAAUGUAUACGAAAUUCACCUGAAUGGAAGCUACACGAUAGGUUUGGUGCUGAUGAUAAAAACCAAAACCAAACCAAAAAAAAAAAAACCCAAACCAAACCAAACCAGGCACAGAGUUUUGAAAACUACCAUUGAACGUAUUCCCUUUGUGGUAGCCCAGCCUAACAUAGCACACGGCUUAGCCAAUGGGGUUUGGUGCUCAGCUCAACUCACUUCUAAGUGUUUGGCUUGAAAAGAGAGCCCCCAGAUCGUCAGGUAAACUGAGGCCUCGAACCCACCAUGUGGUCAUGAGGGAUGGGGGCCAGAUCAUCAGUGGUGGCAGUACUGUUGCUCAAGUCCUCCCAUAUAUCCCCAGACUGCUGGGGACAAGUCUGCCCCACUAAGUCCAUAGAGUUGGAAGCCAAGGAUAUUUCUAAGACUUAAGAAGCUUGUUUGCAGGACAGAAGCAGGUGGGACAGUUCAAGAAAAAAAACUUAGGAUGUUUACGCUGACCCUUUAUAUGCCUUACUGCAGAGAGCUGACAGACAUACAGACAGACACACACACCUCUUAUUCACCCAGCAUCCUUAGAUUUUGCUCACCAGGCACAUUCAGCUGUCUUCCUGUGUCUUGCUAGGGACACCCGCCCUCUAGUGGCUGACGAGAAAAUGACACACAACUAACCAAAUUCUUUUUAAAGUCAAGCCUUUUUUUUUUUUUAAAUUAAUUAGCCAUUUGUAAUGAACCAAGAAGCACAUACCCACUUUGUUUUUUUGCUUGCCUUCAUGUUAUUCUACUAUAAUGAUUUUAAAAACUUACCGGACUGUUACUUUCUGUUCACAGAAAUUAUCUCUUAAAGGAGCCAAACUGAUUCAAGAGGAAAAUCCUUAAUUGCUGAGCUAGGUUAGCAAGAACCAAGUCAAACCACCUUGUUCAAGGGGCUUGAAGACUUAAAAGAAAAUGUUCAGCAUGGAUGUAAAGUAAGCUAUCUGGGCUAUAUUGAACAUAUCCCCUGACAAGUCAACUGAAAUUUCAUGUUGUGACGUAGCAGCCGUGACAGAUCACCUGCUGAGGGUGACAGUCUGUGAGACCAAAAUCACUUGCUUCAGAAGUUGCUAACAUUUGCACAGAGAGACGUAUGCAAGUGGUGGCAAGUGUGAGGUAUAAAUGUGAGCCACAUGUCCCAGUACAAGACGCUGCUGAAAGGAGGACUCAGCAGAGGACUUUGCUCCCCUGUAAGCAGUUCCUUAAAACUGUUUUAAACAGACACAAAAACUGCAAACAUCCAUCAUCCUCCCCACCCCCUUCCCCAACUUGUUCAAAGGAUGCCUGCCUGACCACUCUCUGACCCUGUCGGCUGGCCACUGUGUAGAGUCUUUAGUUGUCAUGGAGCUUUGUGACACGGUUACUUCAAACACAUCGCAAGACCAUCAACAGCUAUUUAGACUCUCAAAAGCAAGCACCCGGAAAGCUGCUAGGAAGCACAUUUCUUAAGAGAGUUCACAGAACAUCUCCGGAGAAGUCGGCAAGGCAGGCUUAGACAGAACACAAGCACACCCAGAAAUUCCCGAUUCCUGCCCCGGGAGGGAUGCCGCCAGCACGGGAGACCCAUGAGGACAAUGAAUUCUGACUAACUUGCUAUGGCCUCCCUUGGGGUGAGCCAGCCUUGUUUAUUACAGGAAAUGGAUUGGAUUUCACAGACUAGUAAGACACUAUCAUUUGGAUACCAUGGAGUGGUACACCCAAGGAGGAACACGCUGGAGAUGAGGGAGUAGCUACGAGCACACUGUCUCAUAAGCGUCAUACAAGGCUUCAGUUGUUAGUACCUUUCUUGUAAGACCAAACGAAACAACUCCAAAGGCAUACUCAACCUAAGGGCAUUCCAUUUUACUUGGAUCCAAAUUUUAAGCAACCCUGGCUUGAUCUCCAAGCAAUACUCAUCCACCACUGAGUAGAUAUGGACGAGUAACUGUAUUUUAUGAGCUAUUCACAAGGGAAGGGCUCUCACCAAGCUUUCAAAUGGAAUUCUUUAACUGGCCACAGCUCUGUUGUUUUAAAGUCAUCUGCAGUUGUCCUUAGCUUGUUCUUCUGCAUAAUUGAUUAGACAGCUGUCAAAUAUGUGUGUCCCCCUAUCUCGUAACUGACAUUCAUACGGGGAUAGAUGAGAGAGGAAAUGGGCUGUGAACAAAUGGACACUGGGCCAUUGAAGAGAUGGAAGAAAAAGAGGCUGAGGCUGAGAGGCAACAGUAGGGAGAAGCAAGAUCUCUCUUCACCAGCAGGUGGGCUCACCAGUGAACCCACACCCACAGAAAUGGACUUACAGCACAGAAUGGCUUGCUCUACACCAUGACUGCUGUGGUCUUUUUUUUUUUUUUUAAUCUGAGCCAUAUAGAUUGCGCCCAACUUUAAAGAUAGAUGUAUGUCACUGACAUAUGAUUAUAUACAACCCCAAAGAUUUUACCACGCCAAGUGUAUUGACACUUUAAUGUAAAACAUAGCUUGAAAGCCUCUCUUAGAUUUCCCUGAAGAGAAUGCCUCAUCCCUGUAAGUGGGGCCAAAUAGUGCGGUUCCUAGGAUUCCCUAUGCAGAUGACUGAUCUCCAUGUAAAGCCGCGCAGCAUCGCGUCUAAGCUAACAUGCUCAUUCUGUUUGAUCUCCGUCCAUUUCCUGCAUUGUACUAAGGGCCUCUUAUCCCUGUCCAACAUCAACAGGUCAUUCAGAGAGGGGUCAGUGUCAGCCAAUAUAAAUAACCAUUAUAAAACCUCUAGCAUGCUUUAAAUCAACAAGCAAAGUGGCCUAUGCUGUUUAAAGUAUAAAUUCCAAAUAUUUUCAUGGCAGAGGGUAGAGGAGGUCUACAAAAAGCACAGUUGAAAAAAAAAGAGAAUCAGAGUUAAAUGAUCCAGUCAUGGUGAGCCACUCCAGCACAUGGUUCCCUAUUUUAAAACCAGCUUGCAAACAAAUGUCCACAGAGCCCUUCCUUCCCCUCUUGGAGAAGACAGACAGCUUGGGUUGGAAGACCACAGGCGCCCGUGUUUCACAAGAGUUUCACACACAUGGCUGACAUUACCACCAUGUUUAUAAACCCAGGGAGGCUCAACCAAAACUAUAACAGCUAGAGAACUGGAAGAGACUCAGAGUAUGAGGAGGAGGUGACAGAUCUCCCUCCUGCUUCUUUUUUUCCCUCCCAAAGCCUGUGUGUAGAAGGAGACACUGUAACUCCCACUAAGCAUCUCCAGAGAAUGGUUCUUGGGAGGAAAUCAUAGGAAGGGGGUUGAUGGGAACAGGCUAGGACUUACUGAUAUCUGUCUUGGGAAGAAUACAUGAAGCCCAUCUGGGAGUUCAGAUCUCCCUCCUUUUUUCCUGUCUUACAUCUGUUGUUCCUGAACUCAGUCUGCAUGAUCUGAGAGCACAAUGAGCCAGGUAGACCAGUUCCUACACAUGCUAAAGGGGGCACAACCAUGCAGAACAUGCUUAAUAGUGACUAUAACCCUCCCUGGUGGAGCACUAUCUAUAUCAUUGUGGAAACAGUUGGCUGGGUGUGGCAGUUCACAUCUUUAAUCCCAGCACGUGGGAGGCAGAGGCAGGUGGAUUUCUAUGAGUCUGAGGCCAGCCUGGUCUGCACGGCAAACUCCAGGACAGCCAGGGCUAUCCAGUACAAACCUGUCUAAAAGGAAAUUUAAAAAAAGGGGGGGGGAUAGAAGAAAAGAGACUCUAGAACAAGUUUGGAAAGCAAGGCACUAUUUCACAGAUAACUAAAUAUGAUUGCUUUAAUAACCAUAAGCAGAUGAGUCCAUAAUACCCAGGUUCUGUCUAGCCCGAGGCCUGGGCUGUUUUAAAGCCAAGGUUAGCUAUGAAUGUAACCCCAGGCAAAAUUGCAAAGACACUUAAAACUCUGUGUGUGUGUGUGUGUGUGUGUGUGUGUGUGUGUGUGUGUGUGUGUGUGUGUGAACUGUUUUGUAAUUUAAUUGCACAGUUCUCAAGCAUGAACUUUAUAGCGGAAAACUUCAUGUUGCAAUGUCAAAGUGUUAGACAAGUUUGAAGGAGGUGUUUACAAAUUCCAUCACUGCAUAUUGGCCUACUGGCUGAGUUUAAGCCUCCUUAGAUACCUUUAUCUGUUUCCAUUUUGGUAGGGAAAUGUGUCUUGAUUUUCUAUCCCUUUCCGUGGCUGCUUUCUCCUGGAACCACAGCCAGUUCUAUGCCUCCUCCCUGGAGUUAUCUGCUCAGAGAAUGCACAAGUACUUUCUGGUAAACUGAAUGUUUAUCUUUGGGAGCCUUCUCCCAGCUUGCAAGGUAAGUUUAGUGUUUAUUGUUAGGGAAAGAGCUGCUUUUCUGUGGCAACUUUCCCAUUAUGGUGAUCUGUGCUGAUUUUCUUUAAGAUCCAUCCCCCAAGUUAUUUCCCUUAUGCCUUACGGUGACUUCGCAGGGCAAGACCCCUCGGGUCCACGCUAUUAUUCCCAAGUGUAGACAGAAAGGUGAGGGAAUGACUCACAAUGACUUAGAGCUAGAACCAGAAGUAACUUCAACAAAUCCAGCAGUAGAUCUGGGACCCUUUAAUGCUUACAAAAGAGGCUGGCCUUUAAGAAAUGACCACUCCGUGAUGCCCAUGCUUGGGGAGCUAUACAUCAGAUUCAGGAAGUCAAGGGACUCACCGUACUUGCUACCUACAGUAAUCUAUUUUUGUCUAUUAAAACUCUCCAGAUUCAGGUAUAAUAAUUUCUGUUUUUUUUCAUUUAUAUAACAUAUAUUUUGCUUUAACUAUGACACCCACUCCCAAUGUUCUGCCAAGGUAGAAGAUUUGACAGUUUGACCAUGAUAACCUACCUUUCUCUAGCAUCAAGCAAAUAAAAUGUAAAACAAACAGUGGCUUUUCUUUGUUCUGUUUCUCUUUUGUUUGGACUCCCACAAUCCAGGAGGGAUGUGAACUCACUGUGUAGCUGAGGCCAGUCUGUAACUCUUGAUUCUCCUGCCUCCAUCUCCAAAUGUUAGUGUGUGCUGCUACAGCCCUGUUAAGAUUUUUUUUGAACUAGGCAAACUGUACUUUUUUUUUUCAGUAGGCCAAUUGUCCUCAUCUGACUCCCUGCUAAUUUUCCUGAUGAUAUUUGACCAGAACAGGCUGAUUUAGAUAAUUCCAUGUCCAUGGACAAAAAAAUAAUUGAUGACAUCAGCAUAGUUAUGGGAAUUAGACUUAUUAGUUAAUUACAAAGCCAGUAGAGGGAGCACAAACCCUGCAUAAAUAAUAUGCAUUUCUAAGUGGCUUACAGAACAUGCAUGCACACAUGCGUGUUCUGUUGCUUCAUGGUGCUACACUCCCACGUGUGUUUGUUCACGGUGCUCCCCUCUCCCCUGGUGCAGUUGUUCCUGUCGAAGGGUGAGACUUACAGAGUUGGCAAACACUUUCUUAUUCAUCCCACAUCAGGAUGGUUUUCAGUGUGCUUGUUCCAAACAGAAACUUAACGGAGCCAGUUUUCUUUUAAGAGACAAUAAAAGUUUAUGUUUGUGGGUGACUAAGAUUGGACAAAAGUAAAGUAGACUAAUGGCUAUCGGGACAAAGAAAGAAAAAUAAAUUCAUCCUUUAAAAAACAGGAACCUGUCUAGUACUGGGUGGGAGGACGACAAGGAAGCCUACAUGAAUGUAGAUGGUUGAAACAUAUCAUGUGCAUGCACGAGGAUGUCAGAAUGAAACUCACUAUUGUGUGUAAUUAAGGAAAACUAGUCUGCCCUAAGUACUGCUCAUGUUUGAAAUAAAUGGUCACGGCUUUCUCAUUUAAACCACAGGCUAUUCACAAGUUUUGUGAUUGACAUGGCGCAUGUCUCCCACCAAAAUAAUGCCCGUGUAAACAGAAAGAUGAAAGGCAUUUGUUCAUGGGUUGGGUAGAGAAGUUAGGGCCCAAACACUCACAAGUAGUCCAACUCUUUAAAAUACAGUUGUAGUCAGGUUAAAUACAGUACCACCUGAUACGACUUAACAUUUAACCAAAAAAUAAAUAUUGUAAAUAACUUGAUUUUUUUGUAUUACAUGUUUGUUUUCUUGUUUCCCUAUGUCAGGAAUGUAAAGCAGAAUGUAAAUAAAAUCACAUAAUGCGAGCUUUUAUUUAAACUAUAUGUAUUCUGACACUAUUUUUCUAUUAAGGAUGAACGGUGGCUGGAAAGAUAGCUUAGUUGGGUAAGUUCUUGCCUUGUAAGCACAAGGACCUGAGUUCAAUGCCCACAUAACAAAAGUCAGGUGUCGUGUUGUCUGCUUAUCAUCCCAGUGUUGGGCAGAUGGACACAAGAGGAUCCUUGGUUCUUACUGGCCAUCCAGCCCAGUCUACCUAAUGCAUUUUAGGCUACUGAGAAACUGUUUCAAAAUGAAAAUACAAACAUAGCCAGAGAAAUAUAUUGGAGAUUUUUCUCUGGCUUUCACGUGCAUAUAUACCAGAGUGUACACACACACACACACACACACACACACACACACACACACACACACUAAUAGGGAAGGUUCUCCACUUUGGCUCAUAUUGAAGGGAUUUAUCAAGGACUUGGAACAGAGAAAUGGCAGUAAUGAAUGAAUCUUUGGGAAGAAUGGCCUCACCAGACAUCUGUCUGGUUUUAGAGCCAACUAGUUUAGAAGCACAAAGAAUGUUGGAGUCAGUCACACUGUUAUAGAGCCUAUACCUGUGCAUUCCUUCUAACCAUUGUCUGCACUGAGUCCCUGGCCCACGGACAACCUGCUAAUCCACUGUCUGUCACUUUAGGGACAUCACUAUGGUCUGAAUAUUUGUGUUCCCAUGAACAAGCAUGGUUAAAUCUACUGUGAUGGAGUUAGCAGGGAGUGCAUUUAGGAUGGGGUCAAUAUUGUCACAGAAGAGGACUAGAGAGGACUCUCUUAUCCCUUCCUCCAGAGUAGGAGACAUCGAGAAGGUAUAAGCUAAGAACCAAGAGACAGGCCCACAUUAGACCCCUUAUCCGCCUUCACCUCUAUUCUGGGAAUAGCGUUCUAUUCCCAUCUUUUACAAGCUAGCAGGCUGUUCUACAAGUGAAUGCUUAUUCUACAAGUGAAUGUGGAGGAUAGUGGAAGUAGGAUCAUCCAGGAAACAGAGGGGUGUACUGGGUUCAGUACCUAGGACUUGGUUAUCGGUGGGAGACCGUAGCCUGCUCCUAAUUUUUACCCUUUAUUCCCUUUGAAAAGCUCUGAAUGUGACGGGCUCUGUAAAUGAGGCCCUUAUCAGUAAUCUUCAGCUCAGAUUGGCUGUGCUUUCUGCCUCAAUGUCCUCAAGUACCGCAGGCAUCCUCUUGCCUGAAAUCUCGGAUACCCAGCAGGAGGCUGUAAUUGCAAGCAACUAACCAUGCCCACAGCCAGAGCCAGUAGCUCCCCUCAGAAAGGUUCCUUCUGCUUUACAAACAAAACAGAUCCCAGAGUUCAUCAGCUUCCUGGAAACGGGUGCUAGUAUACCUAAGAUGCUUUUAAGUCAUUUUUAUCAAUACUUGAAGAAAAAUGUCCCCAAACUUUUAAGGUAAAUUAAGGUUUCUUGGAUACCUGGUAUGCACAAGGGAUGACCACAGAAACAACCGAAAGAUUUCAUGGAUCCCAAACCGCGUUAUGAGUUUAGCAUUCUUUAAAAUUCUUAUUUGACAGAACGCAAAUCUGGGACUCAGAGCAGUUAGGUAACUUGCCAAGGUUAUUCAGCUGUCACAUGUCUGUCCACGGAAGCCCACACAUGCCUUUUUUUUGUUAGAGCUCAUUACAGAUCCGUUUUCAAAUGACAAAACAUGACAAAUUUCGUGGAAGACAGUAGAAUCUAUUAUUGUUAGAGUUCUCUCUCUCUCUCUCUCUCUCUCUCUCACACACACACACACACACACACACACACACACACGCACACACACACACACACACACACACACACACAAAGAAUAAGCUUGCCGGUGCUGAGAAUUAACACAAGAAAGAAAGUAUUAGCAGAUGAGUCCCACCUUUAUAAAGAUUGUCAGUAGGGGCAAGAGAAUGACAGAUGGCCAAAUGAUUCUGAGUGCCUGCAUCUUGAGUCCUCACAGGUCACUGCCAGGCUGCUCUGGGAGCCAACUCACCCGUCAUCCAUCAGGGUUCAAGACCAGGAUCAACAGAACUGGUGUUCUGCAGCUCUGCAUCCUGAUUGAUCCUGACCAUUGCUUGGAAACUACGGGCAUGUCAGGAUUUGGGAAAAAUUAAAAUUCUUCCCAGGAGGCACAGUAGAUUUCUGGCCAGUGUGGCCCACUCAUUUUAUUUAAUAAGAAAUUGAUCAGCAAACAAAUGGUGCCUGUUUCCAUCUGGUGAAGAACUUAACGGAGGCUCUUUGUGGAUUAGGUAGGAGUACAAGCGUUCAUUUCCCUUUGACUAUCAUUCAUUCUAACGAGUGACAGGUUGGUUUCAGGAUCAACAGACCAGUUAGUGGGUCUCAUCUAACUGUGUCAGAAAAUGGCUGAAAAUCUAAAUCCUGUCAUUUACUUCGGUGAGAACAGCCAGGCUUGAAAGAGCUAACCAUUAGUCAGGCCUAUGUUCCAGAUACAUGUUUUUAUUUUUAGCAUAUCACAGCCAUGCACUGUCAAUUUUGCAGAUAAUUCAGGAAGCUAUUUAAACCUAGGAUAGGUAACUCCAGCUUAGAAACCGCAGAAAUCCUACAAGGAAUCAUUUGGACACUUCUCCCAUUGAAUUAAAUAGACACCAGGGAGACCUGUGCCAUCUCAUGAAUAUAUUAGGUGCUGAUCAGCACAAAUGUGUUUAUAUUAAAAAUGGCUCUUUGGCUUCAAUUGUCUGUUUAAGAGAUACCAGCUCCCUGUUGGGACCCGCUGAUCGAAAAGUCCUCAUGAUAAUUUGAACAUAAACACACAUAACUUUUCAAGUAUUCUCUCUUUUAAAGCAAGGCCUAGAGAGAUUAUUAAAGCAUUUGGGUGGUUCUAGGGAUGGCAGAUGUAUCUUAUCACAGAUGUGUCACACACACAAAGGGGGACGCACAUGUCACUGCCACUGCCACGCCAUCCGCAGCUUGAAGACUCCAAAGGACAGGGGUUCAGCUAUGGGGCAGCCAGAGAAAGGGUCAUGAUUCACCAUGGCGGGGCCAGCAUUCGGACACAUAGUCUUUAAUUGCCUAGUUGUCAUCUCCCAUAUACUCUGGGGUGACAUUGGGCCUAGAGUGAUGAAGAAAAUAAAAUAAAUGCACAGGGUCUCAUGUGUUCUGCCAUCUUGAAAUGCCCUAUUUGCUCAAUAUUCAUAAAGGAGAGGAAAAAAAUUAGAGUUCAUCUUUUUUUUUUUUUUUUGGCCAUACAUUGUUUUGCCUGAGCAUAAAUUGGCAUAUUAUGCUCCCUCAAUUAUACAGACAGCAAGAUGUUAUAUGAUUUAGGUUGCAAUGACACUGUUCUUUAUGCUAACGUUUCCGAUUAUGAAGGCUUGCAGUUGGAAUGGCCCACCAGGGGUAUAGAAUUGUAUUGUGACUAAAGCAUUAUGGGGUUUGUGAGCUGUAAAUGAGCUCUUGGUGUUGUCUAAGGUCAAGAUGUUUCCUUCCUCCAUUUCUGUGCGACGUCACGAGAAGUUAAGUCUGCAACUCUUCCAUUUGGGUACAAUGGUAUGCCAGGAAAGCAGCAAAGCCUUUAGCUGGGUUCUUCCUUCCUCUCUGUGUGCUGCAUGGGGGCUGUCCCCUAGCAGUUCCUACCAGUCAGGGCUGCAGUCACAGCUUAAGUGGUCACCAGAAAGUGUCAGGUAUGCAUGAUGUUGAGCCCCCUGCGGGUGGUGUCUUAUCUGCUGUUUCCAGCAACCUCCAGCUAGAGUGGUACCAGAUAGACUUUGCAAAUGAUGAAAGGGGGCUCAGUGGGCCCACUCACCUCAGGCUUCAUUCACUGAGGAUCAGCUUUGGUUUGAAGCUCAUGCUCUGGAC